CAAUAGCGUAUAUUAAAGUUGUUGCAGUUAAAAAGCUCGUAGUUGGAUUUCUGGUUGAAGCGACCGGUCGGGCGUUGAUUCGUCUGCACUGGAGUCGGUUUUGGCCAUCCUCUAGGAAAGUGCGUCUGGUAUUAAGUUAUCAGGCGUAUGAUCCUGGUCUUUUACUGUGAAAAAAUUAGAGUGUUUAAAGCAGGCCUUCGCCUUGAAUACAUUAGCAUGGAAUAAUAAGAUAGGACUUUGGUCUAUUUUGUUGGUUUGCAGACCGAAGUAAUGAUUAAUAGGGAUAGUUGGGGGUAUUUAUAUUCCGAUGUCAGAGGUGAAAUUCUUAGAUUUUCGGAAGAUAAACUUAUGCGAAAGCAUUUACCAAGGAUGUUUUCAUUAA
rnacentral:rRNA from 1 species